ensembl:lncRNA
CGAGUGCGGUCACUUCCUACCUGGUCGCUGUGUGCCAGGACUCUAACCCCAGGUACACCCUCAACCCACCCUCGGUCCCAGCGGCAGUGGCCACAAGGCACUCUUGCUUAACGCUCUCCGGGCCAAAGCGCUAGAGACUCCGCGAGCAUCUCUUAAUUUCGCAGCGCGGUAAGAGUCGCUAGGGCGGGCGGCAGCUCUUAAAGCUGGAAGGAGCAUCAGAUUCAGGUAGGACUGAGCAUUCGAUGCCUUUCGUGAAAAGUCACCGAGCAAAUUAAAUAUGUGUCAACAUUUAGCACCGGCAGUGCAUCCUAACAAACACACCCCCCCCCCACACACACAGGCCCGCUAAAGCGAGCUCUACAAAUCGCUGCCUGUAUACGCUUGAAAUCUCCAUCAAGAGGUAUGAAUGAACAAGUGUUUGAAGAAGGGGAGGUUUCUGGUGGCAACUGGCCUUAAGUAAGCCUACCCCUCAGAACACCCACCUGGGGGACUGAAUGUGUUGCUCCCACUCAACUCCUUCAGAAGACCUCCAAUUCUUCCGGGGCUCUUUUCAAGUGCCUGUCCGCAGGUUACCCUGGGUUUCUUACAAAGCAACGAAAAUGGCUUGACCCAGUGAAUCUGGCAGCUAAAAAUGCUGAACAAACAGUUGCGGAGAAAUGGAUGUGAAACACGGCUGUUUGUGCCACACGGUUGUUUUAAUGGGUUAAGCAGUCCUUUCUUCAGAGCUCUGGUUAUAUGUUCAUACUUGCGCAAACAUAUGUCUUCGGCUGUGGCUGAAAGAACGUAUGGUCUGUGGGAUUCUGAUACACCCGUAGUUCUGUGUCAGUGUAAACACCUGUGGCACUAUGAGUGCAUGUGUGUGUGUGUGUGUGUGUGUGUGUGUGUGGAUGUGAGCACUUUCUUCCAGAAAGACUUAUCUGCUCAUUUCUCCGCCUGCUUGUCUAUGGUACAGCCAGUAGAAGGGGCUCAAGCUUUUCUCCCUGCUGUUGAAAUAGCCAAGAAAAUAAGCAUUAAAAGACAGCCUCCUUUGGAAAAUGUUGAUUACUGAAGAGGGUAACCAUGAUCUGAUAACACAAGUUUUUCCAAUCUGAAGACCAAAAGCGGUGUGGCUUUGAGCUUCAAAUCGCACUGCCAUCAGGGACAUUUGUGUUGGAGGCCCUGGCAUGUACCUGUCUUCCUUCUCACCUCUGGCCCUAGGCUGGGCCCACAUGCUGCCACCUGGCUGCCCACAGCCCACACCACACACAGCUUUCAGCCCACCUUCUGCUUCCAAUCAAUACUCCGACCCUCUUCCCCAUGCUACUGCUCUUCUUCGGCUAGAAAUUCAGAUGAAGAUACCUGGUGGUGUUUAAUCCUUACAAGUAGCCUCGGAGACGGGCACCAGUGUCAUCCACACUUGACAGAUGAGGACACUGGGGGUCAGAGAAUUCAAGCGCGUUGUGAACAUCAUGUGGCCGAUACGUGGCAGAGGCAGAAUUCAGAACCAGGCCCCACUGACCCCAAACCUUUAUUCCUGCUUCUCUCCCACUGACCGUUUCUACUCUCAAACAUGCUCAGGUUCCAGUCGUGGAGCCGGGACUGGGAGCGGAUACAGCUGCCUCCAAAGACUGUGUUCUGAACCUCGAUUCUUUCCUGAAAUUAUCUCAUUUGAUCCUUGCAAGGCCCUAAAAGGAACUGUUUCGUCCAUGUUUGCACAUGAGUGUACAGACGCAAAGAAGUGAACGUUCUGCGUGGGCGCGUGGGUCCUCAUGAAGUGAACCUGAAUGUUCUAGAAUACGCAUACUCUCUUGAUGUCGUGAGGCCCUCUGAGUGUUGCGUAGCAAGUCUGGGUAUUAUUAGGGGUGUCUGUGAAGUCUGGGACCAGGCUCGGUGGUGUGGGCUGAACACGUGUGUUGUGGAUUAUGUCUCUCUGUGUGUGGCCCUUCUAAGAGGAC